rnacentral:lncRNA from 1 species
UGGAAAACAGCUAGUCAUCAUACGUGGAUUUUUGCAACAGCAAAGCCUCCUACUAAAUGAGACCAUAGUAAAGGCAGAAUUGUGUAUAAUCAGAAAAUGAAUAAAAUUUUUCUGAUCAAAAUCAAAGAAAAAGAAAAAAAUGAAAAAAAAUUCUGAUCAAUUGACUAAUAUUUUUCUUGUGUUUCAUAUUCAGGCAUAACUUCUACUUCAGAAGAAGUAACUCCUUCAUCUGGUAAUGCCCCCUGGCCACUGCACUGCAAAUGUAUGCAAAUGGGACACUAGGAUCACUCUGUCCACCACUGGGGCCGAGAGUAGGCAGGAUUGGGGGUGGUGUGGUAUCAAGUUGUCAUUGUCCUUGAGCAAGGUGACUCAUCCAGGCCGGACCCUCCACCUGGCAUGAGGUGGAAGUGGGAGGUUGGUAAGAUGGAGAGAGGACCUUCCUGGCUGGGUCCUAUCACCUGCCAUGGGUUCUGGUACCCUCAUACAUCUCUCCUUCGUAGCACUUGCUACAAUUACAAUUGACAUUUCUAUGUAUGAUCGUUCGACCUCAUCUGAACUUCCCAUGACACAGUCCUCUCUUUGAGGACAGAAAGAGCCAUAUGUGGUUUACUUGGCUGUUUUACUCCAGCUGUGGCACAGUGCCUGGCACAGAGGAGUGGGGAGUCAAUAUUUGUCAAAUAAAUGAAGGUCACGUUUUCUGUGUUCUAGGGACAGAGAAAAGAAAACAAACUAACUAUGAAACACAAUUUGUUUGCCAUCCGGGAGGUUUUGACCAAUUAACUUUUCUCGUUUCCAGAAUCUUUGAAUACCGCUCUAACUACCUCAACAGCCGCAGAUCUAAUUUCAACCAAAGUGACACCAUCACCUGGUAAUGAUCUUAUGCCUGUUGCUAGAUUAAUGCUUCAUUUUAUUACUUACACUACCCUAUUCUUUCAUAAACGCCAUUGUUUAUUUUUCUACCGGGAUUUCCUCUGUAUAUGUUACUGUGGAAUUACAUCUCUCAGAUAUGGCUUUUCUCUUAUCUAAAAAUAUUUCUGGGGAAACUCACUUGAUUUUCUUGGCUUUAUUUUCAACCCCUAUAAAACUGUUUUCUACAAAAUAUAAUUUUUUAAUUCUUCCUUGCAAAAUUCAGUAUAUUUAUAAAGCUUCUUUUCUCACCAUUUAAUGCAUUAUUUUAUAUCUGGGAAAUAAACAGGAUACAGCACCACUUACUACUUCCUUUUUUUUUUUUUUCUUUCCUGAGACAGGAUCUUACUCUGUUCCCAAGGCUGGAGUGCAGUGGCCUUGACCUGUUGUGCUCAAGUGAUCCUCCCACCUUCGCCUCCUGAGUAGCUAAGACUGCAGGUGUGCACCACCAUGCAGCUAAUUUUUAAAUGUUUUAUAGAUGCUGGAUCUCUCCAUGUCACCCAGGCUGAUCUUGAACUCCUGAGCUCAAGUGAUUAUCCCACCUCAGCCUCCCAAAGUGCUGGGAUUACAGGUGAGCAAGCUGUUAUUUGGUACAUUUUGAUGGUAAGAAAAUAAAACUUAAUGGAUAAUAUUUCUGCACCCAAAUCAGAGUAGGAACUUAAACAAUGUAUUAGUAUCUGAAAUUAGAGCAAAUGUUUCAUUCUUUUUCAGCUUUGUAUAUAAAUAUGAAUACA